CUCAAGGUGGCGUUAGUACCAGACUCCUCAUCCUGGCUCAAGGUGGCGUUAGUACCAGACUCCUCAUCCUGGCUCAAGGUGGCAUCAGCAGAAUCAUG